rnacentral:rRNA from 1 species
UGUGGAAUAUUGGACAAUUGGCGAAAGCCUGAUCCAGCCAUGCCGCGUGUGUGAAGAAGGUCUUCGGAUUGUAAAGCACUUUAAGUUGGGAGGAAGGGCAGUAAGCGAAUACCUUCCUGUUUUGACGUUACCGACAGAAUAAGCACCGGCUAACUCUGUGCCAGCAGCCGCGGUAAUACAGAGGGUGCAAGCGUUAAUCGGAAUUACUGGGCGUAAAGCGCGCGUAGGUGGUUCGUUAAGUUGAAUGUGAAAGCCCCGGGCUCAACCUGGGAACUGCAUCCAAAACUGGCGAGCUAGAGUAGGGCAGAGGGUGGUGGAAUUUCCUGUGUAGCGGUGAAAUGCGUAGAUAUAGGAAGGAACACCAGUGGCGAAGGCGACCACCUGGGCUCAUACUGACACUGAGGUGCGAAAGCGUGGGGAGCAAACAGG